rnacentral:rRNA from 1 species
GACGAACGCUGGCGGCGUGCCUAAUACAUGCAAGUAGAACGCUGAAGAGAGGAGCUUACUCUUCUUGGAUGAGUUGCGAACGGGUGAGUAACGCGUAGGUAACCUGCCUUGUAGCGGGGGAUAACUAUUGGAAACGAUAGCUAAUACCGCAUAACAAUGGAUGACACAUGUCAUUUAGUUGAAAGGGGCAAUUGCUCCACUACAAGAUGGACCUGCGUUGUAUUAGCUAGUAGGUGAGGUAAUGGCUCACCUAGGCGACGAUACAUAGCAGACCUGAGAGGGUGAUCGGCCACACUGGGACUGAGACACCGCCCAGACUCCUACGGGAGGCAGCAGUAGGGAAUCUUCGGCAAGGGGGGCAACCCUGACCGAGCAACGCCGCGUGAGUGAAGAAGGUUUUCGGAUCGUAAAGCUCUGUUGUAAGUCAAGAACGGGUGUGAGAGUGGAAAGUUCACACUGUGACGGUAGCUUAACAGAAAGGGACGGCUAACUACGUG